GUCCGGCUAGCUCAGUCGGUAGAGAAUAAGACUCUUAAUCUCAGGGUCGUGGGCUCGAGCCCCACGCUAAGCG
rnacentral:tRNA from 1 species